rnacentral:tRNA from 1 species
GCGGUAGUAGUUUAAUGGUAGAAUACGGGACUGUGGAUCCUGUGGAGCGAGUUCGAUUCUCGCCUAUCGCC